rnacentral:siRNA from 1 species
CAAACCCAACUGGAUCUGACCGGA